rnacentral:rRNA from 1 species
GGAGGAUCCAAGCGUUAUCCGGAAUCAUUGGGUUUAAAGGGUCCGUAGGCGGCCUUGUAAGUCAGUGGUGAAAUCUCCCGGCUCAACCGGGAAACUGCCAUUGAUACUGCAGGGCUUGAAUAAUCGGGAAGUAACUAGAAUAUGUAGUGUAGCGGUGAAAUGCUUAGACAUUACAUGGAAUACCAAUUGCGAAGGCAGGUUACUACCGGUUUAUUGACGCUGAUGGACGAAAGCGUGGGGAGCGAACAGGAUUAGAUACCCUGGUAGUCCACGCCGUAAACGAUGGAUACUAGCUGUUGGGAGCAAUUUCAGUGGCUAAGCGAAAGUGAUAAGUAUCCCACCUGGGGAGUACGUUCGCAAGAAUG